CUCGAAGCCAUUUCCACAUAUUUGGGCCAUUACAGGAGUUCUUGGGAGGCCAGUGUUACAGACAUAAAGCAGGCUGUCCGAUAAUGGCUCUGAUGUACAGUACUGAGAAAACUUUCUACCUCGAUGGGUCAUCCUUCCUGCUGUUGACCUCUGAAGCUAAUGGAUGUGUUUCCUGUCUUUGCUAACCCAUCAUCCGUCAAAGCUUUCCUGCUGUGAUCCGGGCUCCUGAUUCGGCCCUCCACGUCUCCAACACCCCUCCCUUCCCCAUCCGUCUUCCAGCAAUGGUGUCCUAUUCAUGCUAAUUGAAGAGGCCUGUAAGGAGGGAGUUCCUUUAUGGGGCUGAGUCACAGCUCAGCGCCUUCACUCAAGGGAGGAGGAACAGGAGAGGACCCUCGGGAAUGUAAAAAUGUUUGGCAGGAAUAAUGGGAUGGCAGGAGAAAG